rnacentral:rRNA from 1 species
CCCAGACUCCUACGGGAGGCAGCAGUGGGGAAUAUUGCACAAUGGGGGAAACCCUGAUGCAGCGACGCCGCGUGGAGGAAGAAGGUCUUCGGAUUGUAAACUCCUGUUGUUGGGGAAGAUAAUGACGGUACCCAACAAGGAAGUGACGGCUAACUACGUGCCAGCAGCCGCGGUAAAACGUAGGUCACAAGCGUUGUCCGGAAUUACUGGGUGUAAAGGGAGCGCAGGCGGGAAGACAAGUUGGAAGUGAAAUCUAUGGGCUCAACCCAUAAACUGCUUUCAAAACUGUUUUUCUUGAGUAGUGCAGAGGUAGGCGGAAUUCCCGGUGUAGCGGUGGAAUGCGUAGAUAUCGGGAGGAACACCAGUGGCGAAGGCGGCCUACUGGGCACCAACUGACGCUGAGGCUCGAAAGUGUGGGUAGCAAACAGGAUUAGAUACCCUGGUAGUCCACACCGUAAACGAUGAUUACUAGGUGUUGGAGGAUUGACCCCUUCAGUGCCGCAGUUAACACAAUAAGUAAUCCACCUGGGGAGUACGACCGCAAGGUUGAAACUCAAAGGAAUUGACGGGGGCCCGCACAAGCAGUGGAGUAUGUGGUUUAAUUCGACGCAACGCGAAGAACCUUACCAAGUCUUGACAUCCCUUGACAGGCAUAGAAAUAUGUUUUCUCUUCGGAGCAAGGAGACAGGUGGUGCAUGGUUGUCGUCAGCUCGUGUCGUGAGAUGUUGGGUUAAGUCCCGCAACGAGCGCAACCCUUAUGGUCAGUUACUACGCAAGAGGACUCUGGCCAGACUGCCGUUGACAAAACGGAGGAAGGUGGGGAUGACGUCAAAUCAUCAUGCCCUUUAUGACUUGGGCUACACACGUACUACAAUGGCGUUAAACAAAGAGAAGCAAGACCGCGAGGUGGAGCAAAACUCAGAAACAACGUCCCAGUUCGGACUGCAGGCUGCAACUCGCCUGCACGAAGUCGGAAUUGCUAGUAAUCGUGGAUCAG